rnacentral:rRNA from 1 species
CCUGACUGCUAUCGGAUUGAUACUAAGCCAUGUGAGUCUUUGUAGCAAUACAAGGCGUACGGCUCAGUAACACGUAGUCAAUCUAACCUAUGGACGGGGAUAACCUCGGGAAACUGAGAAUAAUACCCGAUAGAUCAUUAUGCCUGGAACGGUUUAUGGUUCAAAUGAUUCGUUCGCCAUAGGAUGGGACUGCGACCUAUCAGUUUGUUGGUGAGGUAAUGGCCCACCAAGACUAUUACAGGUACGGGCUCUGAGAGGAGAGGCCCGGAGAUGGGUACUGAGACACGGACCCAGGCCCUAUGGGGCGCAGCAGGCGAGAAAACUUUGCAAUGUGCGAAAGCACGACAAGGUUAAUCCGAGUGGUUCCUGCUAAAGGAACCUUUUGUUAGUCGUAAAACCACUAUUGAAUAAGGGGUGGGCAAGUUCUGGUGUCAGCCGCCGCGGUAAAACCAGCACCUCAAGUGGUCAGGAUGAUUAUUGGGCCUAAAGCAUCCGUAGCCUGUUUUGUCAGUUUUCGGUUAAAUCCAUACGCUCAACGUAUGGGCUGCCGGAAAUACUGCAAAACUAGGGAGUGGGAGAGGUAGACGGUACUCGGGAGGAAGGGGUAAAAUCCUUUGAUCUCUCGAUGACCACCUGUGGCGAAGGCGGUCUACCAGAACACGUCCGACGGUGAGGGAUGAAAGCUGGGGGAGCAAACCGGAUUAGAUACCCGGGUAGUCCCGGCUGUAAACUAUGCAAACUCAGUGAUGCAUUGGCUUGAUGCCAAUGCAGUGUUGCAGGGAAGCCGUUAAGUUUGCCGCCUGGGAAGUACGUACGCAAGUAUGAAACUUAAAGGAAUUGGCGGGGGAGCACCACAAGGGGUGAAGCCUGCGGUUC